GAUGAAGAACGUAGCGAAAUGCGAUACGUAAUGUGAAUUGCAGAAUUCAGUGAAUCAUCGAAUCUUUGAACGCAUAUUGCGCUCUCUGGUAUUCCGGAGAGCAUGCUUGCUUGAGUAUCAGUAAACACCUCAACUUCCAUAUCUUUUUUUGAAAUGGGAGUUGGACUUGAGUGAUCCCAACGCUUUUCCUCACCGAAAAGUGGCGGGUUACUUGAAAUGCAGGUGCAGCUGGACUUUUCUCUGAGCUAUAAGCAUAUCUAUUUAGUCUGCCUAAAAAACAGAUUAUUACCUUUGCUGCAGCUAACAUAAAGGAGAUUAGUUCUUGUGCUGACUGAUGCAGGAUUCACAAAGACAGCUUCGGCCGACUUUGUAAACUCGAUCUCAAAUCAAGUAAGACUACCCGCUGAACUUAAGCAUAUCAAUAAGCGGAGGA
rnacentral:misc_RNA from 1 species